GAAGGUGUGCUGUGAGGCAUGCUGGAGGUAUCAGAAGUGCGAAUGCUGACAUAAGUAACGAUAAAGCGGGUGAAAAGCCCGCUCGCCGGAAGACCAAGGGUUCCUGUCCAACGUUAAUCGGGGCAGGGUGAGUCGACCCCUAAGGCGAGGCCGAAAGGCGUAGUCGAUGGGAAACAGGUUAAUAUUCCUGUACUUGGUGUUACUGCGAAGGGGGGACGGAGAAGGCUAUGUUGGCCGGGCGACGGUUGUCCCGGUUUAAGCGUGUAGGCUGGUUUUCCAGGCAAAUCCGGAAAACUAAGGCUGAGGCGUGAUGACGAGGCACUACGGUGCUGAAGCAACAAAUGCCCUGCUUCCAGGAAAAGCCUCUAAGCAUCAGGUAACAUCAAAUCGUACCCCAAACCGACACAGGUGGUCAGGUAGAGAAUACCAAGGCGCUUGAGAGAACUCGGGUGAAGGAACUAGGCAAAAUGGUGCCGUAACUUCGGGAGAAGGCACGCUGAUAUGUAGGUGAAGCGACUUGCUCGUGGAGCUGAAAUCAGUCGAAGAUACCAGCUGGCUGCAACUGUUUAUUAAAAACACAGCACUGUGCAAACACGAAAGUGGACGUAUACGGUGUGACGCCUGCCCGGUGCCGGAAGGUUAAUUGAUGGGGUCAGCGCAAGCGAAGCUCUUGAUCGAAGCCCCGGUAAACGGCGGCCGUAACUAUAACGGUCCUAAGGUAGCGAAAUUCCUUGUCGGGUAAGUUCCGACCUGCACGAAUGGCGUAAUGAUGGCCAGGCUGUCUCCACCCGAGACUCAGUGAAAUUGAACUCGCUGUGAAGAUGCAGUGUACCCGCGGCAAGACGGAAAGACCCCGUGAACCUUUACUAUAGCUUGACACUGAACAUUGAGCCUUGAUGUGUAGGAUAGGUGGGAGGCUUUGAAGUGUGGACGCCAGUCUGCAUGGAGCCGACCUUGAAAUACCACCCUUUAAUGUUUGAUGUUCUAACGUUGACCCGUGAUCCGGGUUGCGGACAGUGUCUGGUGGGUAGUUUGACUGGGGCGGUCUCCUCCUAAAGAGUAACGGAGGAGCACGAAGGUUGGCUAAUCCUGGUCGGACAUCAGGAGGUUAGUGCAAUGGCAUAAGCCAGCUUGACUGCGAGCGUGACGGCGCGAGCAGGUGCGAAAGCAGGUCAUAGUGAUCCGGUGGUUCUGAAUGGAAGGGCCAUCGCUCAACGGAUAAAAGGUACUCCGGGGAUAACAGGCUGAUACCGCCCAAGAGUUCAUAUCGACGGCGGUGUUUGGCACCUCGAUGUCGGCUCAUCACAUCCUGGGGCUGAAGUAGGUCCCAAGGGUAUGGCUGUUCGCCAUUUAAAGUGGUACGCGAGCUGGGUUUAGAACGUCGUGAGACAGUUCGGUCCCUAUCUGCCGUGGGCGCUGGAGAACUGAGGGGGGCUGCUCCUAGUACGAGAGGACCGGAGUGGACGCAUCACUGGUGUUCGGGUUGUCAUGCCAAUGGCACUGCCCGGUAGCUAAAUGCGGAAGAGAUAAGUGCUGAAAGCAUCUAAGCACGAAACUUGCCCCGAGAUGAGUUCUCCCUGACUCCUUGAGAGUCCUGAAGGAACGUUGAAGACGACGACGUUGAUAGGCCGGGUGUGUAAGCGCAGCGAUGCGUUGAGCUAACCGGUACUAAUGAACCGUGAGGCUUAACCUUACAACGCCGAAG
rnacentral:rRNA from 1 species